UAUUACAAUAUAUAUAUAUAUAUAUACAUAAAGAAUAAUGUUAAUGAACUUCAUCAAAACUUGUUAUUUUCUUAUAUUCUCAUGUUUGUGUUCAGAGUUAUAAUGAGGCAUAACAUGCAUAAUUAAUUCGAGUAGGAACCGUUAAUGCAGAAUAUUUUAUGGGGCACAUAAUGGUGACGCACACAAUACCUCGUGCGAUGUGUGAACAGCGCCAUCUUUAGAAGCACAUUUGCUAUUGACGAGGUCGGUUGUGCUUUCUCUCGCUCUUCAAACAAGAGUGCUGCUUUUUCCAUGCUGUAUGGAUCACUGAAGGGGAGAGACGUGUAUCCCAAAAAACAUUAAUUGUGCUCUGUGUAUUUCUGCAGACCUGCUUCUUCAGAAUAAACCUUCCUGAGACCUGCUCCACCUGUAUUGUCAUCUUUGAGAGCAACAAAACACAACCAGAGUAAAACUGCUACAUAAAAAUGGUGCCGUGACCUACUGGAUCAACUGGAUCAGCCGCAGCCGAUCGCCGGAGUUGUGCAACGUGUUCGUGACGUAUUGAUGCUGCAUCUGUAGAUCGAGGAAUCGAUUUCACCAUUGUUCUGGUAACUGUAAACCAAAAAAACAAAAAACAGAGAGACCUUUUUCCGUGGACUGACAUAUUGAACUGUUGUCUUUUUCCUCAUCAUACUUACUGGACAUUGAAUGAGGCCAGUUUUCUUUUGUGUUUAUUCUGUCACUGUCAUAUAUUUA